rnacentral:rRNA from 1 species
AACGGACGCUGGCGGCGUGCCUAACACAUGCAAGUCGAACGAGAAUGCAGGCUUCGGUCUGCUAGUAAAGUGGCGCACGGGUGAGUAACACGUGGGUAAUUUGCCUUUCGGUGGGGGAUAACGAGGUGAAAGCUUCGCUAAUACCGCAACCGACUACCGGGUCGAUGGAUCUGGUGGGGAAAGCUCCGCAAGGAGCGCCG